rnacentral:rRNA from 1 species
AUUGAACGCUGGCGGCAGGCCUAACACAUGCAAGUCGAGCGAGCGGCGGACGGGUGAGUAAUGUCUGGGAAACUGCCUGAUGGAGGGGGAUAACUACUGGAAACGGUAGCUAAUAACGCAUACCAUCAGAGGUGCCCAGAGGGGAUUAGCUGGUAGGUGGGGGAACUCCUCACCUAGGCGACGAACCCUAGCUGGUCUGUGAGGAUGACCAGCCACACGGGAACUGAGACAUGGUCCAGACUCCUCCGGGAGGCAGCAUUGGGGAAUAUUGCACAAUGGGCGCAAGCCUGAUGCCGCCAUGCCGCUUGUGUGAUGAAGGCCUUCGGGUUGUAAAGCACUUUCAGCGGGGAGGCGUUACCCGCAGAAGAAGCACCGGCUAACUCCGUGCCAGCAGCCGCGGUAAUUC